GGUCAAGUUAUUAAGGGUGCAGGGCGGAUGCCUUGGCACUAGGAGCCGAUGAAGGACGUGAUAAGCUGCGAUAAGCUUCGGGGAGUUGCACGUAAACUUUGAUCCGAAGAUUUCCGAAUGAGGAAACUCACUUAGAGUAAUGUCUAAGUAUCAUUAAGUGAAUACAUAGCUUAAUGAGGGGAACUCAGGGAACUGAAACAUCUAAGUACCUGAAGGAAGAGAAAGAAAUUCGAUUCCGUAAGUAGCGGCGAGCGAACGCGGAUUAGCCCAAACCAAUAAAGUUUUCUUUAUUGGGGUUGCGGACAUAUCAUAACGAAGAGGUAUCGUAAUUGAAGAGGUUUGGAAAGACCCACCACAGAAGGUAAUAGUCCUGUAUGUUAAACGAGAAGACUUCAGAUAUGAUCCAGAGUACCACGGGACACGUGAAACCCUGUGGGAAGCAGGAGGGACCACCCUCCAAGGCUAAAUACUACCUAGUGACCGAUAGCGUAUAGUACCGUGAGGGAAAGGUGAAAAGAACCCCGGGAGGGGAGUGAAAUAGAACCUGAAACCCUGCACUUACAAGCUGUGGAAGCACAUUUCUUGUGUGACCGCGUACUUUUUGUAGAACGGGCCAACGAGUUACGUUAAGUAGCAAGGUUAAGCACUUAAGGUGCGGAGCCGUAGCGAAAGCGAGUUUUAACUGAGCGUUCAGUUACUUGACGUAGACCCGAAACCGGGCGACCUACCCAUGAGCAGGAUGAAGCGAAAGUAAAAUUUCGUGGAGGUCCGAACCCACGAGCGUUGAAAAGCUCGGGGAUGACUUGUGGGUAGCGGUGAAAUUCCAAUCGAGCCCGGAGAUAGCUGGUUCUCCCCGAAAUAGCUUUAGGGCUAGCCUCAAGGUGAGAGAUACGGAGGUAGAGCACUGAAUGUCCUAGGGGGUAUUGCACCUACCGAAGACUAUCAAACUCCGAAUGCCGUCAUCUUAUACUUGGGAGUCAGACUGUGGGUGAUAAGAUUCAUAGUCGAAAGGGCAACAGCCCAGAUCGUCAGCUAAGGUCCCUAAAUGUAAGUUAAGUGGUAAAGGAUGUGGGAUUGCACAGACAACCAGGAUGUUGGCUUAGAAGCAGCCACUCAUUCAAAGAGUGCGUAAUAGCUCACUGGUCGAGUGAUCCUGCGCCGAAGAUUUCCGGGGCUAAAACUUACUACCGAAGCUACGGCAUCAGUAAUGAUGGGUAGGGGAGCUUCCCAUACGGGUUGAAGCAUGACCGUAAGGACAUGUGGACAGUAUGGGAGUGAGAAUGUUGGCAUGAGUAGCGAGAUGUGGGUGAGAAUCCCACAGGCCGUAAACCCAAGGUUUCCAGGGGAAGGUUCGUCCGCCCUGGGUUAGUCGGGACCUAAGCUGAGGCCGAAAGGCGUAGGUGAUGGACAACAGGUUGAUAUUCCUGUACUACCGAUAACCGUUUGAGAGAAGGGAUGACACAGUAGGAUAAGCUAAGCACACUGUUGGUUAUGUGUGCCCAAGCAUUGAGGCAGUCAAAGUAGG
rnacentral:rRNA from 1 species